GUCUAUGGCCAUACCACCCUGAACGCACCCGAUCUCGUCUGAUCUCCGAAGCUAAGCAGGGUCGGGCCUGGUUAGUACCUGGAUGGGAGAAUAGUAAAGGGUAACAUUAUGAAAGAGAACCAGAUUAGAAA
ensembl:rRNA 5S_rRNA 5S ribosomal RNA